rnacentral:rRNA from 1 species
GAUGAACGCUGGCGGCGUGCCUAAUACAUGCAAGUCGAGCGAACAGACGAGGAGCUUGCUCCUCUGACGUUAGCGGCGGACGGGUGAGUAACACGUGGAUCACCUACCUCUAAGACUGGGAUAACUUCGGGAAACCGGAGCUAAUACCGGAUAAUAUAUUGAACCGCAUGGUUCAAUAGUGAAAGCCGGUUUUGCUGUCACUUAUAGAUGUAUCCGCGCCGCAUUAGCUAGUUGGUAAGGUAACGGCUUACCAAGGCGACGAUGCGUAGCCGACCUGAGAGGGUGAUCGGCCACACUGGAACUGAGACACGGUCCAGACUCCUACGGGAGGCAGCAGUAGGGAAUCUUGCGCAAUGGGCGAAAGCCUGACGGAGCAACGCCGCGUGAGUGAUGAAGGUCUUCGGAUCGUAAAACGCUGUUAUUAGGGAAGAACAAAUGUGUAAGUAACUAUGCACGUCUUGACGGUACCUAAUCAGAAAGCCACGGCUAACUACGUG